AAAAGUGAACGCUGGCCCGGCGAGCGACGAAAGUGUUUGUUCCUUCCCCUCCGCCGCCCAUUUCAAACGAAACUGAAUUCCUUCCUUCCCCUUCGCCUCCGCCAUGGCGUCGGGCUCCUCUCACCACCAAAUCGACCAGUUCUUCCCGGCCACGAAGCGGAGGUCCUCGUCGCGCAAGGACGACGCGCCGCGACCCGGGCCGCAGCAUGGGAGCCCCGGCGGCGCCAAGGGGUCCCUGGAGGGGUACCUCGUCCGGUCGCCUUCCACCCGUGCCACGGUGGCGGCCUCGGCGGCCCUCGCGGGCUCGCCGAGGGGCGGGGACGCGGGCGCCAGGCGGAGCCUCACGGCCGCUAUGGACGUCGAUGUCGCCUCCUCCCCUCCGGCGCCGGCGGUUGAUGGGGCCGAUUUGGAGCUCAGGAGAUUCACGACGGACUUCCUUUCCCAUUGCUGCAGUGCUAUCCCACCUUUGAGGGAUGAUUCUGAGUAUCGUGAGCAGUUGGAGAAGAAGCAGAAGCGGAGUGCGAGUCAGUCGAUCUUGGUUCCUUGUGACAAUGCCUCUGCCAAGAAGCAGUGCAUUGCUCAUUGCAGUGGCUUGGAGGCUCUAAAGGAAUCAGAUGAUAGUGUGGCCUUCAAGAAGCAAUGCAUCAAUCACCAUGGUGGCUCGGAGGCUGUGGAGCAGGAAUCAGUUGAGGGGGUAAAGGUGAGUUGUGUGGGAUUUUCAGCAUUGCAAAGAUGUAGCUUUACCCCAAAUACUACACAGAAAAAAGUUGGGUUUUCUUUAGCCCCUGGGGACACCCCAAAAUCUGUAUCAAGGAAUUCCCUUACUUCACCUGGGGAAGAAUUCUGGAAUGCAGCAAUUGAAUUUGCUGAUGGAAUAUCUGCCCAGACAGACAAGGUCCGUGGAAAGCCUAAGUUUGAUGCAGCAGAGGAUAAGUUAUCUUGUGCAGUAGCACUAUGCUCUAAGACUCUUCCUAGAGCAGGAAAGGAUGAGCAUGACUGUCUUAAUACAGUAGGCAGCAAUGAUACACAUCAGAUGGAGAAGUUGUCAAACAAAGUUGAAUUUCUGGCAGCAAAGAGUCAGCAUGUAAACAGCUCUCCUUUGCCUGUGAAGCACCUGGACUUCUGUCAUGAGGAUGACAUCCAAGUUUCAGGUUUGAAAAAAUGUGAAGAAAAAGGCAGAAAUGAAGCUGAUAAUGUACAAACAAACCAUGUUGAAUUGAAAGAUGGUGGCCUUCAGAGAAAAGAAAAUAUAAGGAAGGGUUCAAUAGAUCUUGUAAAUGCAAUGAAGACAAGUGCUCUUGAUUUGCAUACGGAUUCUGCAGCCAUGUUCCGAUGUCAUGGUGUAUUCAAGUCAACAACCGAAGGGAAUGUUCACUCAACUCGAGAGGGUGACAAAGAUUCUCAUCAAAAUAAAUCACUUGCCGCAUAUUCAAAUGGUUGUCUGCCUAAGAAAGACACCAAAAGUAAAUUUGUUUCUCAAGAAGUGGAAGCUAGCACACCUACUAGCUCUGUUCCUCUGAAGGACCACUCAAAGCUAUCAAGUUGGCUCCCUCCAGAGCUUUGUGCUGUAUACAUGAAAAAAGGCAUUUCGGAGCUGUAUCCUUGGCAGGUUGAGUGCUUACUUGUGGAAGGUGUCUUGGAGAAAAGGAAUCUUGUGUAUUGUGCAUCCACGAGUGCUGGUAAAAGCUUUGUUGCUGAAGUUCUGAUGUUGAGGAGGAUACUGUCAAGUGGGAAUAUGGCAAUUCUUGUCCUUCCCUAUGUGUCGAUAUGUGCUGAAAAGGCUCAACAUCUUGAACAACUUCUUGAGCCACUGGGUAGGCAUGUCCGUAGCUUCUAUGGAAACCAGGGGGGAGGAUCGCUUCCUAAAGAUACAGCAGUUGCUGUGUGUACCAUAGAGAAGGCAAAUUCUUUGGUAAAUAAGUUGUUGGAGGAUGGCCGUCUCUCUGAACUUGGUGUAAUUGUAAUAGAUGAACUUCAUAUGGUUGGUGACCAACACAGAGGGUACCUUUUAGAGCUGAUGCUGACAAAGCUUCGAUAUGCUGCUGGUGAAGGGAAUUCAGAGUCAUCUAGUGGAGAAACUUCAGGCUCUAGCAGUGGGAAGAUGGCAACUCAUGGAUUGCAGAUAAUUGGUAUGAGUGCUACUAUGCCCAAUGUUGCUGCAGUAGCUGAUUGGCUUCAAGCUGCUCUUUACCAAACUGACUUUCGACCAGUUCCACUGGAGGAAUUUAUCAAAGUUGGUAAUCAAAUAUUUGAUAAAGACAUGAAUGUUGUUCGUGUCCUUCCAAAAGUAGCUGAUCUUGGUGGCAAGGAUCCAGAUCAUAUUGUUGAAAUGUGUAACGAGGUUGUUCUUCAGGGUCAUUCUGUGCUUUUGUUUUGCUCCAGCCGUAAGGGCUGUGAGUCAACUGCAAGACAUGUUGCCAAGUUCUUGAAAGUAAACUCUGUUGGACCAAGUGAUGUUAGUUCAGAAUUUUCAGAUGCUGCAUCAGCUAUUGAAGCCUUGAGGAGGUGCCCUUCUGGAUUGGAUCCUGUAUUGGAAGAAACCCUUCCUUUUGGCGUUGCAUAUCAUCAUGCUGGUCUUACGGUUGAGGAGAGGGAGAUUGUGGAGUCAUGUUACCGUAAAGGCCUCGUCCGUGUGCUGACUGCCACUUCAACUUUAGCUGCUGGUGUUAACUUGCCUGCUAGACGGGUUAUAUUUAGGCAACCUAAGAUAGGUCGUGAUUUUAUUGACGGGACUCGCUAUAGGCAGAUGGCUGGUCGUGCUGGUCGAACUGGAAUAGACACAAAAGGAGAAAGUAUACUUGUAUGCAGGCCUGAAGAGGUUAAGAGGAUUACAGGUAUUAUUAGAAGCAAUUGUCCUCCCUUGGAGUCCUGUCUCUCUGAAGAUAAAAAUGGAAUGACUCAUGCAAUUAUGGAGGUUGUUGCUGGUGGGAUUGUGCAAACUGCAAGUGAUAUUCAUCGAUAUGUGCGGUGCACGCUGCUUAACUCCACUAAACCUUUUGACGAUGUUGUGAAGUCAGCUCAGGACUCCCUUCGCUGGUUAUGCCAUAAAAGGUUUCUUGAAUGGAACAAUGAGACAAAAAUAUACUCCUCUACCCCCCUUGGUAGAGCGGCUUUCGGAAGUUCACUCAAUCCUGAGGAAUCACUGGUUGUGCUUGAUGAUCUUUCAAGGGCAAGAGAAGGCUUUGUUCUUGCAUCUGAUUUGCAUUUAGUUUACUUGGUCACACCCAUAAAUGUGGAUCUUGAACCUGAUUGGGAAUUAUAUUACGAGAGAUUCAUGCAACUUUCUUCUCUUGAGCAGUCAGUGGGCAAUCGGGUUGGAGUAAUUGAACCCUUCUUGAUGCACAUGGCUCAUGGGGCGGCAAUGCUUGUUCGUGGAAGGCCUCAGAGAAACACUGGUUUACGCAACAAGUCUCCCGCACAAGCUGGUGGAAGUUCACUUAUUAAUGAGCAGACACUCAGAGUGUCCAAACGCUUUUAUGUGGCUUUGAUGUUAUCAAGGCUUGCUCAGGAGAUUCCUGUUGCUGAUGUUUGUGAGGCAUUUAAGGUUGCCAGAGGUAUGGUUCAGGCGCUGCAGGAAAAUGCUGGCAGGUUUGCUUCAAUGGUUUCUGCAUUUUGUCAGAGACUUGGUUGGAAUGAUUUAGAAGGUCUUGUUGCAAAGUUCCAAAAUCGUGUCUCUUUUGGAGUUAGGGCAGAGAUUGCUGAACUUACAUCAAUUCCAUUUGUCAAGGGCUCACGUGCAAGGGCUUUAUAUAAGUCUGGUCUUCGUACUCCUGUUGCCAUUGCUGAAGCAUCUAUUCCUGAAAUUGCAAAAGCUCUUUUUGAAUCUUCUACUUGGUCUGGGCAAGAUGAUUCUGGUUUACGACGAAUACAAUUUGGUAUAGCCAAGAAGAUAAAAAAUGGAGCUCGCAAGAUUGUCCUUGAGGAGGCAGAAGCUGCCAGAGUAGCAGCAUUCUCAGCUUUCAAGUCACUUGGUGUAGAAGUUCCUCAGUUCACUGCACCUGCACUCCCAGCUAUUGAGGACUCCCCAACUCGAGAUAUGAUAGUUUCUCCUUGUGGAGAUCAAAUUAAGUGCAAUAAGCUAGCUUUCGGGACCGAUGCUGUAGAUGAUAAAAAUAAAUCAUCUGAUGAUGGUGCUUCAAGAACUACAUACAGUCUAAGAGAGGAACACCCUGAUUCUUCCAUUCAAAUGAAAGAGAAUCUAGGAAUAGCUAACAGUGCAAAAAUUACUGCACAGGAAGCAGCAUCACCUUCAUCAACAGGAAUUAUUGCUGGAUCGAGUAGUACGAAUGUGGCUGACAAAGGUCCUGUCAAUGCGUAUAACUUCCCAGGGGGAUUUGACUGUUUUCUUGAUCAAUGGUCUGCAGUUGGUGAAUUUUCCUUUGAUGUUCAUUUUAUCAAGAAAUCAAUGAAACCAUCUUCCACCCUUUUCGAAGUCUUUGGGUUGGCGAUCUGUUGGGAAAAUUCCCCCAUAUAUUACUGCAACUUCCCAAAAGAUCUAGUCACUACUGGUAUCAAUGAUUCAAGUGAAAUGUGGGGUCAUUUCCAGAGAAGAUGGAAAAAAAUAGCUGACAUUAUGCAACAUAAGAAUGUCAAGAAAAUGACAUGGAACUUGAAGAUCCAGAUUCAGGCACUUAAAUCAGCUUAUAUCUCUUGCCAGCAGCUUGCAAGGUUUCAUCUUGACCAUAAAUUGCUGGACAAUAUUGAAGUACUUGACAACUCAUAUGUGUUGCUAUCACCAAUCUCUGUUUAUAAUGGAUUGGAUUUAUGCCUGGUGGCAUGGGUUCUUUGGCCUGAUGAAGAAAGCAGAACAGUGCCAAAUCUUGAGAAGUUAGUCAAGAGACGACUUCAUAGUGAAGCUGCUGCUGCUGCAAAUCGGGAUGGAAGAUGGAGAAAUCAGAUGCACAAAGCAGCACACAAUGGCUGCUGCAGACGUGCUGCACAGACUCGGGCUUUGUAUACUGUCCUGAAGAAAUUACUUGUUUCUCAAAAUCUCAAUGAUUUGGUUGACACAAUCGAGGGUCCAUUGGUAAAUGUUCUUGCUGAUAUGGAACUUUGGGGAAUUGGUGCUGACAUGGAUGCUUGUCUCCAUGCGAGGCAUAUUAUAAUAAAAAAGCUAAAGGAACUAGAGAAAGAAGCUUACAGACUAGCUGGCCAGAGUUUCUCACUAAAUGCAACUGCUGAUAUUGCAGACAUUCUAUACACACACUUAAAAUUGCCAGUUCCAAAAGGUUGUGAGAGAGGGAAGCUGCAUCCUAGCACUGACAAGCAGUCUCUAGACCAUCUAAGGGACCUACACCCGAUUGUCCCAGUAAUUAAGGAGCACAGAACAUUGGCCAAACUGUUGAAUGGCACAUUGGGGUCCAUUUGUUCACGUGCUCAAUUGUGCACUCAAUCACAAAGGUACAUCAUCCAUGGAAAUUGGCUUCAGACAUCAACUGCCACUGGCCGCUUAUCUAUGGAGGAGCCAAAUCUGCAGUGUGUUGAGCACUUGGUGGAAUUCAAUACAGGGAAAAGUGAUAAAGAUUACUCAAUUGUGUCAGUGGUUGAUCGUCAUCAAAUCAAUGCCCGUGAAUUUUUCAUUCCCACACAGGAGAACUGGUUGUUGGUAACUGCUGAUUACUCACAGAUUGAGCUGCGUUUAAUGGCUCACUUUUCUAAAGAUCUUAUGUUGAUUGAGCUUCUAAGUAAACCUGAUGGUGAUGUUUUUACUAUGAUCGCUUCAAGAUGGGUUGGCAAAGAAGAGGCCUUGAUCUCUUCCAAAGAGAGAGAGACCACUAAAAGAUUCAUAUACGGCAUCCUUUAUGGAAUGGGUGCAAACUCCCUUGCAGAACAACUUGAGUGCAGCACAGAGGAAGCUGCACAGAAAAUUCAAAGCUUUAAGAGAUUUUUUCCUGGUGUUUCCUCAUGGCUACAUGAAGCUGUAGCAUCUUGCCGCCAAAAAGGAUAUGUGGAGACCUUGAUGGGCCGGCGACGUUUUCUUACAAAAAUAAUGGCUGGCAAUAGCAAAGAGAAAGCUAAAGCACAGAGACAAGCAGUAAAUUCUAUUUGCCAGGGUUCUGCUGCUGAUAUAAUCAAGGCGGCUAUGAUUAGAGUUCAUUCGGUAAUUACCAACAGGACUGGGGAAGUUGAUUCAACUGAUGAAGUUACGAGGAACUUUUCAGAAAUAGGUGGCAAGUGUCACCUUAUUUUGCAGGUGCAUGAUGAGUUGGUAUUGGAAGUUGAUCCAUGUAUGGUACAACAGGCUGGAAGGCUGUUACAGAUAUGUAUGGAGGAAGCGGCUUCACUCUUGGUACCUUUGCGUGCAAAAAUAAAGGUGGGAAAAACUUGGGGUUCUCUAGAACCCUUCUAUCCUGAGCCUCGUUGAUACAAUAUCGUAACUUGGACUUAAGCUCCAUGGAAGUCAGUUUUUCAUGACAUGCAAAUUCAAGGGGCAAGAUGAAAGAUUCUGAGCAAGUUCCAACAUGCCCCUCUGAGGCCAUGAAAAUUCACCUCCUGCACUACCAAUCUCAUGGAGCCUGCCUUUUAACGUUGUGGCAUCUUGUUCUGCAUUAUCCAUGCAUUCAACAAAAGCAUGGCUGUUGCUGUGGUCCGUCUGUGCCUUCGGCUUUGAACUUGCCAUUGCAUGAUUGGACCAAGUCACUGAACUGUAUAUUGGUGAUCCUUUCUGACGUUCCAGCAGUUGAGUUGAGCCAUUUCUAUUGCUAUGGUUGCGCUCAGAUGAUCCUUUCUGGCGUUCCAGCAGUUGAGUUGAACCAUUUCUAUUGCUAUUGUUGGGCUCUCUCUCCUAUCAUCACUGAUUGGAUGUGAAAUCAAGUGUACAGUGACCAGCUCAAUGAUGAGGAUAAAGCAUGAAAGACCAGUGAUAAUGAUUGACGUUACGUGUUGCAUGCCUGCCAUUACUGGGUUUUCAUAUAUCAUCUGUAGAUGCUGUCCAAGGGACAUGCUGCCAUGCUGGCAUCAAAUGGGCAUGCAUCCCUUCAAGGUUCGUCGAUUUUGUAUAGGAAUUACUGGAAGAGAAGGGCAAAUUUCUCUGAAGUGUACAUUUUUUCUUCUGAGGUUAUCCACAUUGUAUAUAAUUGCAAAUUUUGUAAAGUUUUUGGUUAGCAAGCAUGCAUGCAAGAGGAUGUUUGCUUCCUUGUAAAUUUUGAGUGCUAUCAUGUUAGGAUUUCGAAAACUGGGCAGGUCCUGAAACCAGGACCAGCCGACCAUUUCGGCCAGUUUCCUUUGUAUUUCUUAUUGGAUUUAGUUUGAAUCUGUAAAUUUUCAUAAUUUGUUCAGCGAAGUAUGGUUUGGAUGUUCUGAUGCA